GAUGAACGCUGGCGGCAUGCUUAACACGUGCAAGUCGGACGGGAAACACGGGAGACUGUGUUUCCAGUGGCGGACGGGUGCGUAACGCGAAAGAACCUGCCCUUGGGAGGGGAACAACAGCUGACAACGGCUGCUAAUACCCCGUACGCGGUGGAACAAUAGGCGGCAUCCGCCCGAGGGGGGGCUCGCUUCUGCUUACCCAGUUGGUGAGGCAAUAGCUUACCUAGGCGAUGAUCAGUAGCUGGUCCGAGAGGAUGAUCGGCCACACUGGGACUGAGAGACGGCCCAGACUCCUACGGGAGGCAGCAGUGGGGAAUUUGCCGCAAUGGGCCAAAGCCUGACGGAGCAAUGCGGCCGGGAGGUAGAAGGACCAGGGGUCGUGAACUUCUUUUCCCGGAGAAGAAGCAAUGACGGUAUCUGGGGAAUAAGCAUCGGCUAACUCUGUG
rnacentral:rRNA from 1 species